AGCGAACGCUGGCGGCAGGCUUAACACAUGCAAGUCGAACGGGCGUAGCAAUACGUCAGUGGCAGACGGGUGAGUAACGCGUGGGAACGUACCUUUUGGUUCGGAACAACCCAGGGAAACUUGGGCUAAUACCGGAUAAGCCCUUACGGGGAAAGAUUUAUCGCCGAAAGAUCGGCCCGCGUCUGAUUAGCUAGUUGGUGAGGUAACGGCUCACCAAGGCGACGAUCAGUAGCUGGUCUGAGAGGANGAUCAGCCACAUUGGGACUGAGACACGGCCCAAACUCCUACGGGAGGCAGCAGUGGGGAAUAUUGGACAAUGGGCGCAAGCCUGAUCCAGCCAUGCCGCGUGAGUGAUGAAGGCCCUAGGGUUGUAAAGCUCUUUUGUGCGGGAAGAUAAUGACGGUACCGCAAGAAUAAGCCCCGG
rnacentral:rRNA from 1 species